rnacentral:rRNA from 6 species
UACAUGACUCUCGGCAAUGGAUAUCUCGGCUCUCGCAUCGAUGAAGAGCGCAGCGAAAUGCGAUACGUGGUGCGAAUUGCAGAAUCCCGUGAACCAUCGAGUUUUUGAACGCAAGUUGCGCCCGAGGCCAGCCGGCCAAGGGCACGUCCGCCUGGGCGUCAAGC